GCUCAGUAACACGUGGAGAACGUGCCCUUAAGUGGGGGAUAAUCUCGGGAAAUUGAGGAUAAUACCCCAUAGAUCAUGGGAUCUGGAAUGACCCAUGGUUCAAAGUUCCGGCGCUUAAGGAUCGCUCUGCGGCCUAUCAGGUAGUAGUGGGUGUAACGUACCCCCUAGCCUACGACGGGUAUGGGCCUUGAGAGAGGGAGCCCAGAGUUGGAAUCUGAGACACGAUUCCAGGCCCUACGGGGCGCAGCAGUCGCGAAAACUUCACAAUGGAGGCAACUCCGAUGAGGGAAAUCCUAGUGCUAGGACAUUUGUUCUAGCUUUUCUCAAGCGUAGAUAACUUGAGGAAUAAGGGCUGGGUAAGACGGGUGCCAGCCGCCGCGGUAAUACCUGCAGCCCAAGUGGUGGUCGAUUUUAUUGAGUCUAAAACGUUCGUAGCCGGUUUGAUAAAUCUUUGGGUAAAUCGGGAAGCUUAACUUUCCGACUUCCGAAGAGACUGUCAAACUUGGGACCGGGAGAGGCUAGAGGUACUUCUGGGGCAGGGGUAAAAUCCUGUAAUCCUAGAAGGACCACCGGUGGCGAAGGCGUCUAGCUAGAACGGAUCCGACGGUGAGGGACGAAGCCCUGGGUCGCAAACGGGAUUAGAUACCCCGGUAGUCCAGGGUGUAAACGCUGCCGACUUGGUGUUGGGGGCCCUUCGCGGGAACUCAGUGCCGGAGAGAAGUUGUUAAGUCGGCCACUUGGGGAGUACGUCCGCAAGGAUGAAACUUAAAGGAAUUGGCGGGGGAGCAC
rnacentral:rRNA from 1 species